CACAGUGAGAAGCACGCAAGCGCCUCUAGUGGCUGUCAAUGAGACAGCCACUAGAGGAUUAGAGGGAAGGCUUAACCCAUUCAUAAACAUAGCAGUUUCUCUGAAACUGCUAUGUUUAUGAAAAAAUGGGUUAACCCUAGCUGGACCUGGCACCCAGACCACUUCAUUAAGCUGAAGUGGUCUGGGUGCCUAGAGUGGUCCUUUAAUGACUCAUAAUCCUCCCCACUACCCAUCUCUUU